rnacentral:rRNA from 1 species
UACGGGGGGGGCAAGCGUUGUUCGGAAUUACUGGGCGUAAAGGGCGCGUAGGCGGUUCGAUAAGUCAGCUGUGAAAACCAUGGGCUUAACUCAUGGCCUGCAGUUGAGACUGUCGGGCUGGAGUGUGGGAGAGGAGAGUGGAAUUCCUGGUGUAGCGGUGAAAUGCGUAGAUAUCAGGAGGAACAACAGAGGCGAAGGCGAUUCACUGGACUGUAACUGACGCUGAGAUGCGAAAGUGUGGGGAGCAAACAGG